GACCGUGAUAAUGUAGCANAAUCAUUCGCCAUUUAAUUGAUGGAUAGUAUGAAUGGUAUAACGAAUAUAACGCUGUCUCAAAUAAAAAUCUUAUGAAAUUAGAAUAAUAGUAAAGAUACUAUUUUAAACUGUAAGACGAGAAGACCCUAUAGAGCUUAACUAUAACUCUUUAAAAAAUCGAUAAACUAGUUUAUUAGUAAAAAGAGAUAGGUAGUUUAGUUGGGGCGACUACUUUCUAAAAUUAACGAAAGUAAACAAAANUUAAUUAAAAAANUUUACUGUUUAAUCUAUAAAUUUAACAGUUAUUACAAUAGGUAAUAAUGACCCGUUAAUAAUUAAUAAUAAUAUUAACGAUCAAUAAAUAAAAGCUACCUUAGGGAUAACAGGAUAAUUUUGUUCUAGAGAUCAAAUCGAAAACAAAGUUUGUCACCUCUAUGUUGAAUUAAGACAUCCUAAAAGUGCAGAAGCUUUUAAGGGUAGGUCUGUUC
rnacentral:rRNA from 1 species